GAAACCACUUUCAUAUCUAUGUUCUAGUUUAUAAUCCCCCUAAAAUGUAUUUAAAUGUGUAUUCUAGGUCUCCUAACAACCACGGUUGCCCCAACAACUACCAGCACCUCACCACUUCCAACCCUUUUGCUGACCACUACUUUCAAUACCACAAGUAAUGAAGGUUUUCCUGGCUGGGCUCUGGCCAUUAUCAUCCCCUGUGGCAUCGCUAUCAUUCUGGUACCCCUGUGGAUCCUGCUAUGUUGCAUGCUAUGUGGCUGUUGUGCAGCUGUAAGGAGACGCUGGCACAGACGUAGAUCUUACAAUGUACAGUACACCACCAGAAACGGUUUCUUCUGAGGUGACAACGCUAACAUCUGUGGGCAACUGUCAUCACAAGAACAACCAAUCAUCUAUAUCUGCUAAUCACGGGACUUUAAUGCAUGGAAAAUUCCUUGUUACUACAUACAAUUGCAUCUGAAAAGAUCAAGUGGGGAGUUGCAUAUAUUUUAUCAUAAAAAUAAAAUUGAUAAUGGGCUUAAUAGGCCACAUGUUUUUUGUGCAAUGUACUACGUUUUAUAUUAUAGAUAUAUGAUUGUUAAUCAAAGUUACAGCUGAGCUGAACAUGGAAUGUUUAUAUAUUUAUUAGCUAUGUCAUUUGUGGUUUCAAGCUGUGCUAUCCACUUACUAAAACAUUUAUCACUUAUUUAUUUAAUGUGUAAUAAGCUAGAUUACAAUAUUUAUUUGAUUUUUGUUAUUAACUCUCUUGAUUAACUAUGAACUAUUUUAUUUUAAACUGCAAUACAGUACUUGUUUCUUCAACUUACAGUUUGACAAAUGUAAUAAAAAGUAUUUACAAACCA